GUUCUUUCACUAUUUUUUAAAGCCUCCUCCUGCCUCCAUAAUUUUUAUGGCUCUUCCAGGACGCGGGCACAGGAGGAAGGAGCAGAAGAGGGAUGACAGAAUUCAAUUUCUGGAGCCAGUGGAGUUCUUACUUGACUGAUACUGGCUGGUUUUCAUGUCCACCAUUGCUUCAGACUCCAAAAGUCAUCUAUGAUAUGGGGUGUAUAUGUGGCCUGCUGGGACCACCAAACUGCACAGUUUCCUGAGCCUGUCUUGAUCCUAGAAGGUGACAGCCUGCACUGGCCCUAUUGCACAUCUACCAGCGCUGAGCAGCUGACACCUCCUGCCACCGCUUUCUCCAGCCCUGAUCAUGUUUCCCCUCCUGCUGGGGAACAUACCAGACUUCGCGGAGGAGUGAAUGAUUUAAUGCUUACUGAAAUGGCUCAAAGCAGGAAUCAGAGGGGUGGAGAGAAGAUAAGAACAAGAAAGAGAAGAACUCUUAAGAGUGGACAAAUUGAUUGUGGAAUGCUGAACUUGACUGUACAAUAUCCCAGGACAAGUAUCUGGUAAUCUCUCUUCUCUGAGAUACAGAUGAAGAGUGGAUGAAGAGCUCAAAGGGCUUUGAGCAACCAGAAUAGAUACCGCACAUUCAUGUACUGAUGCUUAGACCAGAAGACUGAGCUUCAGAAUAUGAUUGAUGUUUAAUGUAGAUGUUGUUACAACAAACUUGUUUGGGUUCCCAGCCAUCUGAAUGCUGGAAGCAGUGAACACAAAGUUUGCUUCUAGGGGCUGACAUGAAAAUCAUCAGUGCAAAGUGACCGCUGAUAAUUUGAUAGUAUGGAAAGAGACAGAAAUAAAACUGAAAAUUUGCCAAAGUAAUCAAGAAAGGAUAGUGGUCUAUUUCAUUCAGGGGUAAUUAUCCCAUGCAUCUAUUAUUGUUUUUAUACCUCAAUGUAAUAACUUAUCAUUUAAAGAGGACCCUAAAUCCUUAAGAAAAAGUCAAAUACAUUUAGCAUGUUUGAGAUCCAAGAGAACUAUUUAACAUUUUAGAAAGAGUUUCCAUCAAACUUACAUUAACAAGUCUUCAGUUUAUGAAAAAUUGACUUCUGUGGAAUACUUUAUUCCAGGAACUAUCAAUUAGGGAAAUGUUACUGCAUGUUUAAAACAAACAAAAUGAGGAACCUAUGUGAGAUUCAGGCCUCUGUGUUAGAAUACCAGGGACCCUGCCUUUCUGAGAAAAUUUACUUGCAGUCUCCCUAUUCAGCUCGGGCUGCACAAUGGAUGCCAACUGUAGGACAAAGCCUGAUCUUGUAGACAUUCUGUUGCCCUGACUGCCGGCAGAGAGCCAUCACAAGCUUUCGUGCAGCCCCAAGGGGCGCAUAUAUUAAAGAAAAAGCAAGAGCCAUGCUCCAGAAUGGCUUAUUUAAAAUGCAAAGGGUAACAAGAGAGCUACAUUUGGGGAAAGCCCAGCUCUCAGAAACAGGAAAGUAAUACCGAAUCUUGGUUAAAGUUGCUUGCUCUUGAACUAAUUAGCUGGGGAUUGAAUUCAGCAUGAGAAGUCAGAAUGUGGGUUAAGAGUGAAGGAAAAUGUUAUUUUUCCUGUUAGGUACCAGCCUGGCACUUCAGAGUGUAGUAGCAGGCAGUAUGUGAGAUACAGCCAAUUUGACGAAAUCAUAAAAUUGUGAAAAACACCACAGCUGAUUGAAAAGGGGUUCCAGAGGUAUAAUUUUGGUCAGAUGCAUGAUAAAAGGCAUUUUUAUCUUCUUUUGUGGUAGCUAGCCUCUUUGUAAUAAGAUAUGAGCACACUUGUCAUUAAAGAAAAAAAAAAGAGGAAUGAAUUAUACACAAUUCAGUGGAACAGCAAAUAAUACGUUCCCAGCAGUUUUGAAAUACUAUUCCUACCUAGCAUUGAUCUGCUAUUGUUUUCUUUCAAAUCUCUUUUCUUGUUUUUCUAAGAUGGGAGAUUUGUGGGGAAAUCAUACAUAAAAGAAGUAAGCCAAGAUAUUUUGCUUUUGUUUUAUUUGUGAGCCUUUAAGCAAAGGAUAGAAUUUAUUUUUAAAAAAGUCAUAUUACCCAUUGAUGGCAUCCCUCACUGGAUACGUGUCCUUGACAGAACAUGUCUGCAUUUAACAAGAUCUUCUUAACAGGCCUGUGCUAGAUUCAAAAUUUUCAUGCCUAAUUAGCUGUGUAAACAAAUUUGGAAUUUAGGGAAUUUUCUAUGUCACAAGGGAAUGAAGGUUUACUACUUCUUUUGUAGAUGGGUCUGUUUUGUAGAUGGGUUCCUCCCCACCUCAAAUUUGAAGUGUCUGCACUACCUGAAAUCCAUGCUAUUCUCCAUAGGCUCCGGUUGACUCUUAUACUGUGUAUUCUGUGUUAAUUCAGUUGCAGUGUCUGCAUUCAGAAGUGUUCAGGGCUGGAAGCAAUGGUAGACCACCUCAGGGAGAGUUACACUGCCCACAAAGCGCAGGGCAUAUUUCAGCACAGGGCACCCACCCCUUCGAGUCCUGCCCUGCCAAUGCCCAACAGUUAUGUAAGGUUUCCAUGCUCAGAUAGCUGCCAAAUUGGGGGUUUUGUGAAUUUCUUGUUAGUCUAUUGCAGAAUGAAAAGAAAGGCAGAUACAGACUGUGCCAAAUUAAAAGUUAGGAGAGAAAUGGGAUAAUUGGGUGUGGCCAUCUAUGGGCAGAGAGCGCCCACCCCAGCACUGGCUGGUGAGGAAUCCACAGAGAAGGCCUGGGGGCACAGUACAGGUCACCCACAGGUGGCUUUAUCGUCUAUGACCCACAUUUAAAUGGCAGAGCUCAUUUGAAGCUCUUCCAGGCUUGCCGCUGGGUGUUUCUAAUCAUGUGUUUUAAUUAAUGUUUUUAUUGUACUUGGGCCCAGAGGCUGUUUCAACAGACCAGCAUAUAUUUAGAAAUCUCUGAAUAAAUAAAUGUAAAAUAAGGGAAAACUGACUCUGCUGGAAUGAUGAGAGUGAUUGUUUCUAAACAGAUAGAUUAAGGCUUCAGAUUCUAUUGCUUGAGACUAACUCCCCUGAACUAUCAUGGCCUGUCACCUAAACACAUUUAUGGGUGUAACAGAGCAUGGCUCUGGGGUCUUAUCCAGGAUCUGGCUUUAGAAGUCUAUGCUCUGGGUCCUGAGGCAGUU